AUCGAGUGUCGCCAUUUUGUGAAGCAAGAUGAACGCCCGUUACCUCCAUUUCAUUCUGCUGAUAAUGCACACAGUAGCCGAGAAAGGAGGACUGGCAUGCGUGCAGAAACAGACAGAGGCGUGUACAAUAGAAGACUCCCCUUCCCCUGAUGCAUUCAUAGGGGCUCAUUUGUCUGGACUGCUCCGGGUGAACGAGAAGAAGG